GUGAACUAAUAAAUAACAAUGUGGUCUUUUAAGUCUGACAAUUGGGAAUGAGAACAAAUUUUAAAAUCCCCUUUAUCGAGGAUCAAUUGGAGGGCAAGUCUGGUGCCAGCAGCCGCGGUAAUUCCAGCUCCAAUAGCGUAUACUAAAGUUGUUGCAGUUAAAAAGCUCGUAGUUGAAUUUCUGGUCUCGAGACGCGGUCAGCCCCAAGGGGUUUGUACUUGCGGAUUGGGACCAUCCUCGAGAAGAACAUAUCUGUCAUUGAGUUGAUGGGUAUGGGAAUCUCGUCAUUUACUGUGAGACAAAAUAGAGUGUUCAAAGCAGGCUUACGCCGUUGAAUACAUUAGCAUGGAAUAAUAAGAUAGGACCUUGGUCUAUUUUGUUGGUUAGUUCUCCAAGGUAAUGAUUAAUAGGGACAGUUGGGG
rnacentral:rRNA from 1 species